UUAUUAUUUAAAGUUUAAGAUUUAGGUUUAAAGUUUACGUUUAUAGUUUAGAGUUAAACUCAAAUUUUAAUCAUUGAAAAAAAUAAUCUUUAAUUUAAGGUUCCAUUUUAAAUUUUGAUUUAAACCUGUAACUACAUUUUUUAAAUUUAAGAAAUUUUUAAAACAAAUUGGAAAGAACUAAAAUUACAAAUUAUAGUGUUUUUUUCAUGACAAUUGAUUGAUUUUAGUCUAAGGGUUCAAUACUUUCAAAUUUUUUUUUGUCAUCAAAUACAGACUCAUACUGACUCUGUGAGCCACUCCGGUAGAUUUUGAUCCAUAUGAACGACAAACGACGGUUGUUUCCUGGCACUGCGUGCUAGGCUAUCCGCUCUUGAAUUUUGCGUCCUUGGUACAUAGAUAAUCUCCGAAUGUGUGAAAACCUCUUUCAGAGACUUAAUAUCUUCCAAAUAACUUGCAAAUGCGGACCAUUCUUCUGGUUCCAAAACCAUCUUCACCAACUGAGAACAAUCCGUUGCAAAUGUAACCUGAAACUGACGUAAAUUUUUCAUACAUUCCAUUGUCCAAAGUAGUGCUUCUAUCUCCGCAUGUAGAGGGGAUAGACAAGUAAAAUUAUUUAUAAUGUAUUAAAAUUUAAACUACAAAUAUUAAAUAUAAAAUUAUAAAGUUAAAUAUUUUCAAAACAUUAUCUCAAACCAUAUAUAUUUGGAACCUUUAACCCUAAACGUUGAACCACAUACUUUGAUCUAAACCAUAAAACAUUAAACUUCAAACUUUUUAAAAAAAUUAAUUAAUCAUCUACCAUAAAUUCUAACUACAAAUGUUAAAACUCUAAUAUUUUUCUUAUUUAAAAAUAUAAUCUUAAAUCUUAAAUCGAAACCUAAAACACUAUAUACCAAACCCUAAACUCACUCAGUUAUAUACCCUAAACUUUAAACUUUAUAUCUAAACCAUACAUCAAAAAAUCAACAUAUAAUCAUAAAAUCCAAGUUUGAAAAUUUAAAGCUUUAUCAAAAAUACACAUUAAUAUAAAAUAUAAUUUAAACCAUCAAAAUUAAAACAUUAACCAUUGAUUGUUUUAAUCUAAGGGCUACAAAUCCAUCUAGUGUUUAUCUUCUAACUUCUUUCUCAUUGGUUAGAUUUUUUAGUACAAGGAUUACAAUUCUUGACCAUUGAUUAGUUUUGAUUUAAUGGUUUAAAAUGCAUUUUUUUCUUCACUUUCUCUCUUCUAUUUGACGUCUCCUUCUCCUCUUCUCUUUCCUUCGAGAGUUCUUUACAGUUUCAGAUCUUCUUCAUCUCUCUCACUUUCUGUCUUGUAAACAAGAGAGAUUCAUACAUUAUCAUUCAUUUCUUAUGCCUUAGUAUAUUUGGUUUGUAAAUCUUAGAAGUGAAAGAAGAAGAAACGUCGAAGAAGAAAAGAAGAUUGUCGGAGAAAAAAAAAGUGUUGAAGAAGACUGGUCUUCGCCGUCGUCACAGAUAUUGAGCUUGUCGCCAUCUAUAAUUGCCGACGUCGUCCUUGUUUCUGUUUCUCAGAUCUAUUUUUGCCGGUCUCCAUCUUCACCGUAGUCGCCACUACCACCGCUUGUCACCACACUGAUGAGCUUUGAUGGUGGAGGAGAUAACAAAACCGUUGUGUGGCUUGAAGAUGUCGGAGCUCUCGUGGUAACGAGACUGCGGUGGCGAAGGAAGAAGACAAUAAUGACCUCCCGGCUCUCGUGAUAUGGAAGAAACACGCGGUGGUUUAGUUAGGUUUAAAUUUUGUCGACACGGCUGCAAGCUUUUUUGUUUCUAGGUUAUAGAUUAGGGUUGGUUUAUAAUUAAACUCAGCCGUAAAGUAUGCAUAACUCAGCUGUAAGUGUGCAUAAUUCAGCCGUAAAGUAUAUAGCUCUUUACGGCCGACUUAAUGAAAACAUAGAACCGAAUUCG